rnacentral:rRNA from 1 species
UACAGAGGGUGCUAGCGUUGUUCGGAAUCAUUGGGCGUAAAGGGCGUGUAGGCGGUUUGUUAAGUCAUGUGUGAAAUCCCUCGGCUCAACCGGGGAACGACGCAUGAAACUGGCAAGCUAGAGUACCAAAGAGGGGGGUGGAAUUCCCAGUGUAGCGGUGAAAUGCGUAGAUAUCAGGAAGAACACCAAUGGCGAAGGCAGCUCUCUGGGACGGUACUGACGCUGAGACGCGAAAGCGUGGGGAGCGAACAGG